rnacentral:rRNA from 1 species
UACAGAGGGUGCGAGCGUUAAUCGGAUUUACUGGGCGUAAAGCGUGCGUAGGCGGCUGAUUAAGUCGGAUGUGGAAUCCCUGAGCUUAACUUGGGAAUUGCAUUCGAUACUGGUUAGCUAGAGUAUGGGAGAGGAUGGUAGAAUUCCAGGUGUAGCGGUGAAAUGCGUAGAGAUCUGGAGGAAUACCGAUGGCGAAGGCAGCCAUCUGGCCUAAUACUGACGCUGAGGUACGAAAGCAUGGGGAGCAAACAGG